rnacentral:rRNA from 1 species
UACACUCCUGCGGGAGGCAGCAGUGGGGAAUAUUGCACAAUGGGCGCAAGCCUGAUGCAGCCAUGCCGCGUGUAUGAAGAAGGCCUUCGGGUUGUAAAGUACUUUCAGCGGGGAGGAAGGCGAUAAGGUUAAUAACCUUGUUGAUUGACGUUACCCGCAGAAGAAGCACCGGCUAACUCCGUGCCAGCAGCCGCGGUAAUACGGAGGGUGCAAGCGUUAAUCGGAAUUACUGGGCGUAAAGCGCACGCAGGCGGUCUGUCAAGUCGGAUGUGAAAUCCCCGGGCUCAACCUGGGAACUGCAUUCGAAACUGGCAGGCUAGAGUCUUGUAGAGGGGGGUAGAAUUCCAGGUGUAGCGGUGAAAUGCGUAGAGAUCUGGAGGAAUACCGGUGGCGAAGGCGGCCCCCUGGACAAAGACUGACGCUCAGGUGCGAAAGCGUGGGGAGCAAACAGGAUUAGAAACCCUUGUAGUCCCAUG